rnacentral:rRNA from 1 species
GAUGAACGCUGGCGGCGUGCCUAAUACAUGCAAGUCGAGCGAACGGACGAGAAGCUUGCUUCUCUGAUGUUAGCGGCGGACGGGUGAGUAACACGUGGAUAACCUACCUAUAAGACUGGGAUAACUUCGGGAAACCGGAGCUAAUACCGGAUAAUAUUUUGAACCGCAUGGUUCAAAAGUGAAAGACGGUCUUGCUGUCACUUAUAGAUGGAUCCGCGCUGCAUUAGCUAGUUGGUAAGGUAACGGCUUACCAAGGCAACGAUGCAUAGCCGACCUGAGAGGGUGAUCGGCCACACUGGAACUGAGACACGGCCCAGACUCCUACGGGAGGCAGCAGUAGGGAAUCUUCCGCAAUGGGCGAAAGCCUGACGGAGCAACGCCGCGUGAGUGAUGAAGGUCUUCGGAUCGUAAAACUCUGUUGUUAGGGAAGAACAUAUGUGAAAGUAACUGUGAACAUCUUGACGGUACCUAAUCAGAAAGCCACGGCUAACUACGUG